CAGGAUGAACGCUAGCGGCAGGCCUAACACAUGCAAGUCGAGGGGUAACAGGGAGCUUGCUCCGCUGACGACCGGCGCACGGGUGCGCAACGCGUAUGCAAUCUACCUCUUACUAAGGGAUAGCCCAGAGAAAUUUGGAUUAAUAUCUUAUGUGAUAUGUGACUGGCAUCGGUUACAUAUUAAAGGUUACGGUAAGAGAUGAGCAUGCGUCUCAUUAGUUAGUUGGUAAGGUAACGGCUUACCAAGACUUCGAUGAGUAGGGGUCCUGAGAGGGAGAUCCCCCACACUGGUACUGAGACACGGACCAGACUCCUACGGGAGGCAGCAGUGAGGAAUAUUGGACAAUGGACGGAAGUCUGAUCCAGCCAUGCCGCGUGUAGGAAGACUGCCCUAUGGGUUGUAAACUACUUUUAUACAGGAAGAAUAAGAUCUACGUGUAGAUUGAUGACGGUACUGUAAGAAUAAGGACCGGCUAACUCCGUGCCAGCAGCCGCGGUAAUACGGAGGGUCCGAGCGUUAUCCGGAAUUAUUGGGUUUAAAGGGUCCGUAGGCGGGCUGUUAAGUCAGAGGUGAAAUGCUGCGGCUCAACCGUAUGCACUGCCUUUGAUACUGGCGGUCUUGAGUUAUAGUGAAGUGGCUAGAAUAAGUAGUGUAGCGGUGAAAUGCAUAGAUAUUACUUAGAAUACCGAUUGCGAAGGCAGGUCACUAACUAUACACUGACGCUGAUGGACGAAAGCGUGGGUAGCGAACAGGAUUAGAUACCCUGGUAGUCCACGCCGUAAACGAUGGAUACUAGCUGUUCGGUUUUCGGACUGAGCGGCCAAGCGAAAGUGAUAAGU
rnacentral:rRNA from 1 species